AGGAAGCAUUACUUCAGGUCACCUGUGGCAUCCCUGAAAGCACUUUUCAUGGAGGAAAACCAGGCUGUGUCACUGUUCACAUUCAGAUACUUCUCAAAGACUGCUGAAAAUAAACCCAGGAAGCUAAGGAGACAGGAUUACGAGGUUCAGACCAGUUUGAGUUACAAGAUAAGUUCAAGACCAGCCUGGCCUACCAAGUGAAACUUUGUCUCAAAAAAAAAACAAAGAAAAGAAAGGAAGAAAAGAGACAGCGAUCAAGAUAAAGGGAUGGCUCAAUGGUUAGAGCACCGGCUGCUCUUUCUAGUACCCGCAUGGCAGCUCACAGCCAUCAGUAACUAGUCCCAGGGGACUCCCACAUCGUCUUUGAGCCUCCAUGGGUACCAGGCACCCACAUGAUACAUUGACAUUCAAGCACCAGAACACCCAUACAUAUGAAAUUGUUUAAAAAACGAAAAAAAGAAAAAGAAAUAAAAUAUCACCUCCCCCCCCC